AGUAAUACAUAAGUAACCUGCCCUAGACAGGGGGAUAACUAUUGGAAACGAUAGCUAAGACCGCAUAGGUACGGACACUGCAUGGUGACCGUAUUAAAAGUGCCUCAAAGCACUGGUAGAGGAUGGACUUAUGGCGCAUUAGCUGGUUGGCGGGGUAACGGCCCACCAAGGCGACGAUGCGUAGUCGACCUGAGAGGGUGACCGGCCACACUGGGACUGAGACACGGCCCAG
rnacentral:rRNA from 1 species